GAUGAACGCUGGCGGCGUGCUUAACACAUGCAAGUCGAACGUUUAAAGCCCCUUCGGGGGUGUAUAGAGUGGCGAACGGGUGAGUAACACGUGGGCAAUCUGCCCCUCACUUCGGGAUAACUCAGGGAAACUUGAGCUAAUACCGGAUACUCCGAACUGAUCGCAUGGCCGGUUCGGGAAAGCUCCGACGGUGAGGGAUGAGCCCGCGGCCCAUUAGCUUGUUGGUAGGGUAACGGCCUACCAAGGCGACGAUGGGUAGCCGAGCUGGGAGGCUGAUCGGCCACACUGGGACUGAGACACGGCCCAGACUCCUACGGGAGGCAGCAGUGGGGAAUCUUGCGCAAUGGGCGAAAGCCUGACGCAGCCAUGCCGCGUGAAUGAUGAAGGUCUUAGGAUUGUAAAAUUCUUUCACCGGGGACGAUAAUGACGGUACCCGGAGAAGAAGCCCCGGCUAACUUCGUGCCAGCCGCCGCCGUAAAAC
rnacentral:rRNA from 1 species